AAGCAGCAGCCUGUGCGACCCCGCUCGCCUGCACACGAGAGGGCUCCUGGCUGACAGCUGGGGGAACAAAGACCAAAUCGAUACCGAGUGCCCGGAGCUGUUGUGACACACAAUGCUGGGGACAGCACCAAGUAGGAGCUGAAAGGACAGAGGACGGCCCCGCCGGCUGGGGGUCCCCCGGCGUCGGGAGGCUGUGGACACGGAGUGACCCACCUGGGGCCAAGGGGAGGUGGCCUGCUGGCCGACACAGUGCCUUCGUGCUGCGGCUUCUUCAGAGCCCAGGGGCCGGUGUCCUGGCGUCGUGGGUACAGCUGCCGCCGGUGAUGCCAGCUGGCUCGGGCCUCAGCUGCUGCAUUUCCGAUCCAGCUCCCUGCGUGGCCUGGGAAAAGCAGCAGCUGUUCCAAGUGCUUGGGCCCCUGCACCCACGCGGGAGACCUGGACGCAGCUCCUGGCUCCUGGCUUCGGCCUGGCGCAGCCCCAGUGAAGCAGCAGAUGGGAGACCCCUCUGUGUCGCCGUCUUUCUCUGUAACUCUGACUUUCAAAUAAAUACAUAAAUCUUAA